UACGUAGGGGGCAAGCGUUGGUCCGGAUUUAUUGGGCGUAAAGAGCGUGUAGGCGGCCAGGUAGGUCCGUUGUGAAAACUCGAGGCUCAACCUCGAGACGUCGGCGGAAACCCUCUGGCUAGAGUCCGGAAGAGGAGAGUGGAAUUCCGUGGUGUGAGCGGUGAAAUGCGCAGAUAUCAGGAAGAACACCCGUGGCGAAGGCGGCUCCUCGUGGGACGGUACUGACGGCUGAGACGCGAAAGCGUGGGGAGCGAACGGG
rnacentral:rRNA from 1 species